rnacentral:lncRNA from 10 species
GAGUAAACACUAAAUAAAUAAUAAAUAAUAAAAAAGAUAAUAAUAACAAGAAAAAUGUUUAGUAUCUUAAUAAAGAAGCAAAUAAAAAUGACAAUGAUAAUAACAAGGAAGAUGCUUAGUACCUUAAAGAUACCUGACAGUUAUUUGUUAAGUGGACAAGUGGAUAAAUGAAUAACAAACUUUUUAAGGAAAUUCUGUUGGAAAAAUGCAGAAAUUCAAUAGGCACAGCUCUUCUGUAUUAUGAGCACCUUAAAGACCCAAACUGUGUAUUCCAUCUUUGUCUCCUGCAACUUGCCAAACCUAACUUAUAGAGGUCCUUUGUUAAAUAUAUAAUAAAGAUGUGCUCAUACAGUUCAUAUUGUACAAUGUGUCACAUUUAGGUAUCAGUAGCAUUUUCAUUGUUGUGAAAAGUUUUUGUAAUAUUUUUAUAAUUUUUUUGAGUUUAGAGUUAAGCUAUCUGAAUAUUUAUAAUGAUAAUAUUUUGGCUAUUAGAAACAGAGUAUCUUGCUGUAACAAAAUUACUAUUAACACACUAAUUAUCCAGUAGAUAGAACAACAUACCUUGCUCUAAUGGAGUAAACAUAUCUUAUUUGGUUUCAACUUAGACGGAAUGAAGUUGAUAAUAGUGAGACCUUGUUGGUACAAGACUAUGUAACAUAACCUGCGCUUCUCAACAAAGAAUUGCUUUUCUGACUUCUGCACUCAAUAGCAAGACAAAUCUCUCCUCUGCCUUCUCCUUAUCAGACUACUCAACAUGAAGGCAAUAAGAAUGAAGACCUCUAUGUAUAAUAA